rnacentral:rRNA from 1 species
CAGGGAUUGCCCCAGUAACGGCGAGUGAAGCGGCAACAGCUCAAAUUUGAAAUCUGGCCCCCGGGGCCCGAGUUGUAAUUUGCAGAGGAUGCUUUUGGCGCGGUGCCUUCCGAGUUCCCUGGAACGGGACGCCACAGAGGGUGAGAGCCCCGUCUGGUCGGACACCAAGCCAGUGUAAAGCUCCUUCGACGAGUCGAGUAGUUUGGGAAUGCUGCUCUAAAUGGGAGGUAUAUGUCUUCUAAAGCUAAAUACCGGCCAGAGACCGAUAGCGCACAAGUAGAGUGAUCGAAAGAUGAAAAGCACUUUGAAAAGAGGGUUAAACAGUACGUGAAAUUGUUGAAAGGGAAGCGUUUGUGACCAGACUUGGGCCCGGCGAAUCAUCCAGCGUUCUCGCUGGUGCACUUCGCCGGGCUCAGGCCAGCAUCAGUUCGCCGCGGGGGACAAAAGCUUCGGGAACGUGGCUCCCUCGGGAGUGUUAUAGCCCGUUGCACAAUACCCUGGGGCGGACUGAGGUUCGCGCUCCGCAAGGAUGCUGGCGUAAUGGUCACCAGCGACCCGUCUUGAAACACGGACCAAGGAGUCGUCUUCGUAUGCGAGUGUUCGGGUGUCAAACCCCUACGCGUAAUGAAAGUGAACGCAGGUGAGAGCUUCGGCGCAUCAUCGACCGAUCCUGAUGUUCUCGGAUGGAUUUGAGUAAGAGCAUACGGGGCCGGACCCGAAAGAAGGUGAACUAUGCCUGUGUAGGGUGAAGCCAGAGGAAACUCUGGUGGAGGCUCGCAGCGGUUCUGACGUGCAAAUCGAUCGUCAAACAUGGGCAUGGGGGCGAAAGAC